rnacentral:rRNA from 1 species
AGGCGACGACGGGUAGCCGGCCUGAGAGGGUGUCCGGCCACACUGGGACUGAGAUACGGCCCAGACUCCUACGGGAGGCAGCAGUGGGGAAUAUUGCACAAUGGGCGCAAGCCUGAUGCAGCGACGCCGCGUGGGGGAUGACGGCCUUCGGGUUGUAAACCUCUUUCAGCAGGGACGAAGCGCAAGUGACGGUACCUGCAGAAGAAGCACCGGCCAACUACGUGCCAGCAGCCGCGGUAAUACGUAGGGUGCGAGCGUUGUCCGGAAUUACUGGGCGUAAAGAGCUCGUAGGUGGUUUGUCGCGUUGUUCGUGAAAACCGGGGGCUUAACCCUCGGCGUGCGGGCGAUACGGGCAGACUAGAGUACUGCAGGGGAACUUGGAAUUCCU